rnacentral:misc_RNA from 1 species
AAAGUCGUAACAAGGUUUCCGUAGGUGAACCUGCGGAAGGAUCAUUACCUUUCAAUGCAGAAGUCUUGGGUAGGCGGUGCAUUUUUAGCACGCUCUCUCAACUCUUCCUGUAUUACACCCUUGUCUCUUAAAAACCUUCGUUUCCUCGGUAGGCUUGCCUGCCGGCUGGAUUCAACUAUAACCUUUUUAAUUUUCAAUCAGCGUCUGAAUAAAAUUAAUAAUUACAACUUUCAACAACGGAUCUCUUGGUUCUG